rnacentral:rRNA from 1 species
AAUAUUGCACAAUGGGCGCAAGCCUGAUGCAGCCAUGCCGCGUGUAUGAAGAAGGCCUUCGGGUUGUAAAGUACUUUCAGCAGUGAGGAAGGUGGGUAUGUUAAUAGCAUACUCAUUUGACGUUAGCUGCAGAAGAAGCACCGGCUAACUCCGUGCCAGCAGCCGCGGUAAUACGGAGGGUGCGAGCGUUAAUCGGAAUUACUGGGCGUAAAGCGCAUGCAGGUGGUUUGUUAAGUCAGAUGUGAAAGCCCGGGGCUCAACCUCGGAAUUGCAUUUGAAACUGGCAAACUAGAGUACUGUAGAGGGGGUAGAAUUUCAGGUGUAGCGGUGAAAUGCGUAGAGAUCUGGAGGAAUACCGGUGGCGAAGGCGGCCCCCCUGGACAGAUACUGACACUCAGAUGCGAAAGCGUGGGGAGCAAACAGGAUUAGAUACCCUGGUAG